rnacentral:rRNA from 1 species
AGAUUGAACGCUGGCGGCAGGCCUAACACAUGCAAGUCGAGCGGCAGCACGGGUACUUGUACCUGGUGGCGAGCGGCGGACGGGUGAGUAAUGCCUAGGAAUCUGCCUGGUAGUGGGGGAUAACGCUCGGAAACGGACGCUAAUACCGCAUACGUCCUACGGGAGAAAGCAGGGGACCUUCGGGCCUUGCGUCUAUCAGAUGAGCCUAGGUCGGAUUAGCUAGUUGGUGAGGUAAUGGCUCACCAAGGCGACGAUCCGUAACUGGUCUGAGAGGAUGAUCAGUCACACUGGAACUGAGACACGGUCCAGACUCCUACGGGACGGCAGCAGGUGGGGAAUAGUUAGGAACAAGUAGGGUCGAAA